UACGUAGGGGGCAAGCGUUGUCCGGAAUCAUUGGGCGUAAAGCGCGUGUAGGCGGCUUGGUAAGUCCGCUGUGAAAGUCGGGGGCUCAACCCUCGGAUGCCGGUGGAUACUGUCGGGCUUGAGUACGGAAGAGGCGAGUGGAAUUCCUGGUGUAGCGGUGAAAUGCGCAGAUAUCAGGAGGAACACCAAUUGCGAAGGCAGCUCGCUGGGACGUUACUGACGCUGAGACGCGAAAGCGUGGGGAGCAAACAGG
rnacentral:rRNA from 1 species